CGAGAACGAUAUACUCUACAAACGCCUUUGAGAUUUUCAUGUCUGACAUCUUCCAAGGAUGAGAAUAAAACGAAAUUAAAGAAAUUGGAAGAAGAUGCGCGAAUGCUCAAAGAGGCAACAAUGAGAGUAAUAGAAUGUACAUCCAAAUCCCUUUCAAAGAAAAUAAGGUGCAUCAAUCAGAUGGUGUGUUGCAAUUAUAGCGUGAAUUGCAGAGAGGUGCUUUUUCGGGAACCUUUACUACAACUAUCUCCAAAGAUUUGGUUUAGUGGUAUUGGCGGCUUCGUUAGGAAUCAGUAACCCUCAUUGAUACUUGUAUAUUUGUAUCGCUAUUGUGAGGUGACAGAUGUCAACAGUUAAUUACCUUGGAAACCUAGGUAUAGACCACUAUGAUGCGAUCAUUGAUAAGGAUAUCCCGAAGAACUCAAGUAAAUUUAUGCCACUUGAAGGGAAGUUUUCAAACUUCGUGUGAUGGACCCCAUCCAAAACGAAGCUCCACAUAGAUGUCGUUUGAUCUUAUCAAACGCAA